CCUUUCAGAGCCCCUCACAGCACAAUGAUGACCACUCUGAUCCUCCUGCUGACCGCACUGGGCUUCUUUCCUCAAGCGUCCCACCAAGAGGUCCAGACUCCUGAGAGAAGUUCUGUAGAACCAGGACAGUCCGUCACCUUCAGCUGUGUUGCAGAUCGUGGGAUCGGUUAUCUCAUGAGUUGGUACCAGUUGAAACCUGGAGCAGCUCCUAAACUGCUGAUUUACGGAUCAAGUUAUAGAAAUUCUGGAGUUCCACAGCGAUUCAGUGGAACAAACUCUGGAUACACCUUUACGAUGACCAUCAGUGGAGUCCAGCCUGAAGAUGCAGGAGAGUAUUACUGUAUGGGUUACUAUGACUUUAGUGCCGUGUCCGCACAGUGAAAAAGAGUCGUACAAAAACCUCCAUCGGUCAGAGAUGAGACUCUACACUGCUGCAGCUGCAGCUACUGAACCACAGUGUUAUUGUUAUUUUUGAAUUGCAGCUUUUGUUUUUAAUUUCCUUCAUUAUUUUUCUUCAGAUAAAAGAAACCUCUGUGUCUAAUUUAAACUUUUUUAUAAUCAAUAACCACUCACUGUGUUUAAAAUCAUACUUUUCCUUCAAAGUGUGUUUAAUUUGGCAGACACUGUGAUCCUGAGUAACUUAGUUUGAUUGUUUUACACAGGUAGGUGAAGGUCGCGUUAGACGUCUUGCCUAAAGACUCUCAUUGGUAAAGUAUUCGUCCAGACAAGUGAUUGAACUCCAGUCAACAGAUUGGAGGGCAGAAGUGUUAUCCACUACACUACACCAGCCACUAAUACUCUAAUAUUAACCUUUAUUUAUUAAGCUAUAAACACAUUGAUUAUAAUGAUUUAAAGCAAAUCAAUAAUAAAGUUAAAAGAAUAAAUGUU